rnacentral:lncRNA from 1 species
AUCAACUUAUGGGUCAGAAAGUCAUAAUGGAAAUUAGAAAACAUUUAGAACUGAAGGGAUUGGUAUGAUAGUAAUUGCUUCAUCCUCAGGCUUCCAGGAAACUGGCUGCCCCAACUCCAGGCCUCGUAUACACGGACAACAAUGCCAAGAAGAAGAGGCCCAGGACUUCUGGAGAUUACAAUGGUACCAAUACAGCAUUUGACAAAGGAAUGACUUGUGGAUGCAUAAUGCAAUUGGAAGUCUAACUGCAAAGCUCUUAGAAGGAUCUUGAUCAGAAGACACCGAUGGAAACCAUUAGAAGAGCUACUAACACUCCACUCUGUCGGCCAUUCACUGGACUUCAGCCAGUUACUUGUGUAUUUAAUUUCAAAAGAGAUGAACAAAAUUAAGUUCAAAAGCUGUGCCUUACCCUGCCAACACCACCUACAGGCAGUGCUGCAGCUCAGCCUUCAGGAACACAGGAAUGGCAG